rnacentral:rRNA from 1 species
GACGAACGCUGGCGGCGUGCCUAAUACAUGCAAGUAGAACGCUGAAGCUUGGUGCUUGCACCGAGCGGAUGAGUUGCGAACGGGUGAGUAACGCGUAGGUAACCUGCCUGGUAGCGGGGGAUAACUAUUGGAAACGAUAGCUAAUACCGCAUAAGAGUAGAUGUUGCAUGACAUUUGCUUAAAAGGUGCAAUUGCAUCACUACCAGAUGGACCUGCGUUGUAUUAGCUAGUUGGUGAGGUAACGGCUCACCAAGGCAACGAUACAUAGCCGACCUGAGAGGGUGAUCGGCCACACUGGGACGGAGACACGGCACAGAGUCCUACGGGAGGCAGCAGUAGGGAAUCUGCGGCAAUGGGCGGAAGUCUGACCGAGCAACGCCGAGUGAGUGAAGAAGGUUUUCGGAUCGGAAAGCUCUGUUGUAAGAGAAGAACGAGUGUGAGAGUGGAAAGUUCACACUGUGACGGUAUCUUACCAGAAAGGGACGGCUAACUACGUG